rnacentral:lncRNA from 10 species
GCUCUUCAUAUUUUUCUUAAAAAAAUGGAGGUUGAAAUUUUAUUUCAUAUAAACAUUUAAUAUUUAGGUCCAUGAUUUUAUUAUUUGUUUUCCUUCUGUCCCUUCUUUUACUUUUUGCCUACAUUUUUUGGAUUAUUUGAAUACAUUUUAAAAUUCCUUUUUAAUUUAAUCUAUCAGCCUUUAUUUUAGUUGUUGUUCUAUGAUUACAAUAUACAUCCUUAGCUUUUCAUGCUCUACUUAGAAUAUCAUAUCACUUCAAAAAAAUGUAGAAACACUGCAUUCGUAUAGAACCAACUAAACAUCCCCCUUUCUGCUACUGGUGUCACAUGUAUCACAUCUACAUACACUAUAAACUCUAUAAGACAACACUAUAGUUUUAUGUAAAACAAUCAAUUACAUUUUAAAGAAACUAAGAGAAAAAACUAGUGCUUAUAUUUACCCCACUAUUCACCAUUUUCAUUUCUGAUGCAUUUCACUUCUUCAUCACUGAAGUACCCACCCAUUAUUUUCCUUCUACCUGAAGAACAUGUUUUGGAAUCUCUUGUAGUACAAGUUUGUUGGUGAUAAAUUCUCUUAGGUAUUUUUCUUUUCUUUUCUUUUCUUUUUUUUUUUGAGAUGGAGUUUUGCUCUUGUUGUCUAAGCUGGAGUGCAAUGGCACUAUCUUGGCUCACUGCAACCUCUGCCUCUCAAGUUCAAGCGAUUCUCCUGCCCCAGCCCCCCAAAUAGCUGGGAUUACAGGUAUGCGCCACCAUGCCCAGCUAAUUUUGUAUUUUUGGUAGAGACAGGGUUUCACCAUGUUGGCCAGGCUGGUCUCAAACUUCUGACCUCAGGUGAUCCACCCGCCUUGGCCUCCCAAAGUGCUGAGAUUACAGGCAUAAGCCACCAUGCCCAGGAGAGGCAUUUUUCUUUUUAAUCUUAGAAUGUCUUUAUUUUGCCUUCAUUCUUUUAUUUAUUUAUUUGAGAGACAGAGUCUCAUUCUGUUGCCCA